GGCCUACCAUGGUGGUAACGGGUAACGGGGUGUUAGGGCACGACACCGGAGAGGGAGCCUGAGGAACGGCUACCACAUCCAAGGAUGGCAGCAGGCGCGCAAAUUACCCAAUCCCGACACGGGGAGGUAGUGACAAUAAAUAACAAUACGGGGUUCUUUCGGAUCUCGUAAUUGGAAUGAGUACAAUUUAAAUCUCUUAACGAGGAACAAUUGGAGGGCAAGUCUGGUGCCAGCAGCCGCGGUAAUUCCAGCUCCAAUAGCGUAUAUUAAAGUUGUUGCAGUUAAAAAGCUCGUAGUUGAAUUUCGGGAUCAAUUUAUUGGUCGUGCUAUUGUACGUACUGGUAUUAUUGAUUCCUACCUUCUGACGAACCAUGAUGUCAUUAAUUUGGUGUCAUGGGGAAUCAGGACUGUUACUUUGAAAAAAUUAGAGUGUUUAAAGCAGGCUCACGCUUGAAUACAUUAGCAUGGAAUAACGAAAUAGGACGUUUGAUUCUAUUUUGUUGGUUUCUAGGAUCGACGUAAUGAUUAAUAGGGAUAGUUGGGGGCAUUAGUAUUCAAUUGUCAGAGGUGAAAUUCUUGGAUUUAUUGAAGACUAACUACUGCGAAAGCAUUUGCCAAGGAUGUUUUCAUUAAUCAAGAACGAAAGUUAGGGGAUCGAAGACGAUCAGAUACCGUCGUAGUCUUAACCAUAAACUAUGCCGACUAGGGAUCGGAUGAUGUUAAUUUUUUAAUGACUCAUUCGGCGCCUUACG
rnacentral:rRNA from 1 species